GUGACUAUGGGUUUAACGGCCGCGGUAUUUUGACGUGCAAAGGUAGCGCAAUCACUUGUCUUUUAAAUGGAGACCUGUAUGAAUGGCACGACGAGGGCCCAACUGUCUCCUCUCCCCAGUCAGUGAAAUUGAUCUUCCCGUGCAGAAGCGGGAUUACCCCCAUAAGACGAGAAGACCCCAUGGAGCUUUAGACACUAGGCAGCCCACAUUAAACAAACCUGUACAACCAGGGAGAAUUUAGUGGCCCCUCCCCUACUUGUCUUUGGUUGGGGCGACCACGGAGGAAAAAAUAGCCUCCCUGAGGACUGGGGGUACUACCCCUACAGCCAAGAACCACUGUUCUAAGCAACAGAACAUCUGACCACCACGAUCCGGCGCACGCCGAUCAACGGACCGAGUUACCCUGGGGAUAACAGCGCAAUCCUCUCCCAGAGUCCCUAUCGACGAGGGGGUUUACGACCUCGAUGUUGGAUCAGGACAUCCUAAUGGUGCAGCCGCUAUUAA
rnacentral:rRNA from 1 species